rnacentral:rRNA from 1 species
AUUGAACGCUGGCGACAUGCCUUACACAUGCAAGUCGAACGGCAGCACGGGUGCUUGCCCCUGGUGGCGAGUGGCGAACGGGUGAGUAAUACAUCGCAACAUGUCCUGUAGUGGGGGAUAGCCCGGCGAAAGCCGGAUUAAUACCGCAUACGAUCUACGGAUGAAAGCGGGGGACCUUCGGGCCUCGCGCUAUAGGGUUGGCCGAUGGCUGAUUAGCUAGUUGGUGGGGUAAAGGCCUACCAAGGCGACGAUCAGUAGCUGGUCUGAGAGGACGACCAGCCACACUGGGACUGAGACACGGCCCAGACUCCUACGGGAGGCAGCAGUGGGGAAUUUUGGACAAUGGGCGAAAGCCUGAUCCAGCAAUGCCGCGUGUGUGAAGAAGGCCUUCGGGUUGUAAAGCACUUUUGUCCGGAAAGAAAUCCUUGGCCCUAAUACGGUCGGGGGAUGACGGUACCGGAAGAAUAAGCACCGGCUAACUACGUG